ACCCUGGUAUGCCCAGUACGGCGAGUGAAGCGGCAAGAGCUCAAAUUUGAAAGCUGGCUCCUUCGGGGUCCGCAUUGUAAUUUGUAGAGGAUGCUUCGGGAGCGGUCCCCAUCUAAGUGCCCUGGAACGGGACGUCAUAGAGGGUGAGAAUCCCGUAUGGGAUGGGGUGUCCGCGCCCGUGUGAAGCUCCUUCGACGAGUCGAGUUGUUUGGGAAUGCAGCUCUAAAUGGGUGGUAAAUUUCAUCUAAAGCUAAAUAUUGGCCGGAGACCGAUAGCGCACAAGUAGAGUGAUCGAAAGAUGAAAAGCACUUUGAAAAGAGAGUUAAAAAGCACGUGAAAUUGUUGAAAGGGAAGCGCUUGCGACCAGACUCGCUCGCGGGGUUCAGCCGGCAUUCGUGCCGGUGUACUUCCCCGCGGGCGGGCCAGCGUCGGUUUGGGCGGUCGGUCAAAGGCCCUCGGAAGGUAACGCCCCUAGGGGCGUCUUAUAGCCGAGGGUGCAAUGCGACCUGCCUAGACCGAGGAACGCGCUUCGGCUCGGACGCUGGCAUAAUGGUCGUAAACGACCCGUCUUGAAAAC
rnacentral:rRNA from 1 species